AGACGGAGGGUGCAAGCGUUGUUCGGAAUCACUGGGCGUAAAGCGCGUGUAAGCGGUUCGAUAAGUCGAAUGUGAAAGCCCGAGGCUCAACCUCGGAAGUGCAUUCGAAACUGUCGGGCUUGAGUACGGGAGAGGGAAGUGGAAUUCCUGGUGUAGAGGUGAAAUUCGUAGAUAUCAGGAGGAACACCGGUGGCGAAGGCGGCUUCCUGGACCGAUACUGACGCUGAGACGCGAAAGCGUGGGGAGC
rnacentral:rRNA from 1 species